rnacentral:tRNA from 1 species
GGGGUUGUGGCUCAGUGGUAGAGCGCUCAACUAGCACAUGUGAGGCACUGGGUUCGAUCCUCAGCACCA